rnacentral:snRNA from 9 species
AUGCUUACCUGGCAUAGGGAUACCGUGAUCAUGCAGGCCGCUCCCCCAGAGUGAGGCUGCUCCAUUACACGGCGGAGUGGUUAACCUUUGCAAUUAUUUUUAUUUUUUUAUAAGCUUCACUUCUACCGUGUGGACUUGCACAGUGCACACACACA